UGAAAGGCCAAUCAAACCGGGAGAUAGCUGGUUCUCCCCGAAAGCUAUUUAGGUAGCGCCUCGUGAAUUCAUCUCCGGGGGUAGAGCACUGUUUCGGCAAGGGGGUCAUCCCGACUUACCAACCCGAUGCAAACUGCGAAUACCGGAGAAUGUUAUCACGGGAGACACACGGCGGGUGCUAACGUCCGUCGUGAAGAGGGAAACAACCCAGACCGCCAGCUAAGGUCCCAAAGUCAUGGUUAAGUGGGAAACGAUGUGGGAAGGCCCAGACAGCCAGGAUGUUGGCUUAGAAGCAGCCAUCAUUUAAAGAAAGCGUAAUAGCUCACUGGUCGAGUCGGCCUGCGCGGAAGAUGUAACGGGGCUAAACCAUGCACCGAAGCUGCGGCAGCGACACUGUGUGUUGUUGGGUAGGGGAGCGUUCUGUAAGCCUGCGAAGGUGUGCUGUGAGGCAUGCUGGAGGUAUCAGAAGUGCGAAUGCUGACAUAAGUAACGAUAAAGCGGGUGAAAAGCCCGCUCGCCGGAAGACCAAGGGUUCCUGUCCAACGUUAAUCGGGGCAGGGUGAGUCGACCCCUAAGGCGAGGCCGAAAGGCGUAGUCGAUGGGAAACAGGUUAAUAUUCCUGUACUUGGUGUUACUGCGAAGGGGGGACGGAGAAGGCUAUGUUGGCCGGGCGACGGUUGUCCCGGUUUAAGCGUGUAGGCUGGUUUUCCAGGCAAAUCCGGAAAACCAAGGCUGAGGCGUGAUGACGAGGCACUACGGUGCUGAAGCGACAAAUGCCCUGCUUCCAGGAAAAGCCUCUAAGCAUCAGGUAACAUCAAAUCGUACCCCAAACCGACACAGGUGGUCAGGUAGAGAAUACCAAGGCGCUUGAGAGAACUCGGGUGAAGGAACUAGGCAAAAUGGUGCCGUAACUUCGGGAGAAGGCACGCUGAUAUGUAGGUGAAGCGACUUGCUCGUGGAGCUGAAAUCAGUCGAAGAUACCAGCUGGCUGCAACUGUUUAUUAAAAACACAGCACUGUGCAAACACGAAAGUGGACGUAUACGGUGUGACGCCUGCCCGGUGCCGGAAGGUUAAUUGAUGGGGUUAGCGGCAACGCGAAGCUCUUGAUCGAAGCCCCGGUAAACGGCGGCCGUAACUAUAACGGUCCUAAGGUAGCGAAAUUCCUUGUCGGGUAAGUUCCGACCUGCACGAAUGGCGUAAUGAUGGCCAGGCUGUCUCCACCCGAGACUCAGUGAAAUUGAACUCGCUGUGAAGAUGCAGUGUACCCGCGGCAAGACGGAAAGACCCCGUGAACCUUUACUAUAGCUUGACACUGAACAUUGAGCCUUGAUGUGUAGGAUAGGUGGGAGGCUUUGAAGUGUGGACGCCAGUCUGCAUGGAGCCGACCUUGAAAUACCACCCUUUAAUGUUUGAUGUUCUAACGUUGGCCCCUAAUCGGGGUUGCGGACAGUGUCUGGUGGGUAGUUUGACUGGGGCGGUCUCCUCCUAAAGAGUAACGGAGGAGCACGAAGGUUGGCUAAUCCUGGUCGGACAUCAGGAGGUUAGUGCAAUGGCAUAAGCCAGCUUGACUGCGAGCGUGACGGCGCGAGCAGGUGCGAAAGCAGGUCAUAGUGAUCCGGUGGUUCUGAAUGGAAGGGCCAUCGCUCAACGGAUAAAAGGUACUCCGGGGAUAACAGGCUGAUACCGCCCAAGAGUUCAUAUCGACGGCGGUGUUUGGCACCUCGAUGUCGGCUCAUCACAUCCUGGGGCUGAAGUAGGUCCCAAGGGUAUGGCUGUUCGCCAUUUAAAGUGGUACGCGAGCUGGGUUUAGAACGUCGUGAGACAGUUCGGUCCCUAUCUGCCGUGGGCGCUGGAGAACUGAGGGGGGCUGCUCCUAGUACGAGAGGACCGGAGUGGACGCAUCACUGGUGUUCGGGUUGUCAUGCCAAUGGCACUGCCCGGUAGCUAAAUGCGGAAGAGAUAAGUGCUGAAAGCAUCUAAGCACGAAACUUGCCCCGAGAUGAGUUCUCCCUGAGACUUAGAGUCUCCUGAAGGAACGUUGAAGACGACGACGUUGAUAGGCCGGGUGUGUAAGCGCAGCGAUGCGUUGAGCUAACCGGUACUAAUGAACCGUGAGGCUUAACCUU
rnacentral:rRNA from 1 species